UGUAAAUUCUUGUGUUUUUAUAUGCUUGAAUUGGUGAGGCCUCGUUUGGCAAGUGACUGUUUUAACUUAAAAGUCAAAAAGUUACUAAAAAAAUAAAAAAACCAACAACUUAUACCAAAAAGUCAUAGAUUUCAUUUUCUCUUUACUUUUGCACAUCUUUUCGUAAAAAGCUAAAAAGUCAUCAAAAACAUACUAAUUUUUUUUACCUCAUAUUUUAGCUAAAAAAAUCAAAAAGUUACUAAAAUAGUCUGUUCCCAAACGAGGCCUUAGUCUUAUUCAUGCUUAUGGUUAAGUAUAUAAAUUCCCAACAUUAAGUGGAUAUAAAAUUUUAAAAAAUGAAAUAAAUCUCUUUCUCACUCUUCUCUCCCUCACUAACACAUGCCUACAUGUGUCAGUGCCUUUUCCCUUUCCCUUUCCCUUUCCCUUUCUCUUAUCUCUCUCUCUCUCUCUCCUCUUUGCUAACAUUCGCUCUACAGUUAAUACGCUAUUUAACUUAUUUUAUGACACUAACACAUAAGUUAGCACAUUUUGUCACUAUAAGAAAAAACACUUUUGGCGACCACCUUUUUUGAGUUAGUCGUAGAUAGUUGACUUUUUGCGACUAACAUUUUUUUGGUUGCUGAUAAGUUUUGUUUUUGCAACCAAUGUCAUUUUGGUAGCUAAUAGGCAAUUUUUUGCGACUAAAAAAAGAAAUAUGGUCGCGGAAAGUAAUGGAAGGAGACGGAAAAAAAAAAAAAAGCGGGAUCUCAAAAUCUUUUGGCGACUACAUUUUGCACCACACCCAGAAUUUGUCACAAAUAGUUUACUUUCUGCGACCAAAAUAAAUUUUAGUCGCGAAUGAUCAAAGUUUUAGUGACCAACAGCCCUUUGGUAACCAAUAUAGAACCUUUUGCUGGUCAUUGAAGGUAGUGGUGGGAGAGCGAAAAAAUUAGGCGGGAUUUCUAAACUUUUGGUGACCAAGUGAAUUGUGGUCAUAGAAAACAAAAUGGUUAUUUUUUAAGUAAAAUACAAUGUUAAUAAAUGAGACUCUAUAGGGUUAUUUGAUAAUCUAAUUUAGGACUUAAAACUGAAUGUAUUAAAUGAUAAUCAAUUAAGUUUGUUUGAUAACCACAAUUGAUAUAACUUUAAAAUUUAUGUCUUUUAAAAUAUAGUCAAAAAUUUAAGAAAAUUUUAAAUCAUAUAAAAUUUAUUUAAUUCAGACUGAAUUUAUAAAAAGAAAUGCUCCAUCCCCCAUUUCAUCACCCUUUCCCCAAUUGCACCUCUAAUGAGAUGGUAAACAAUACCAACCAAACAACUUUCUUCAAACUCUCCUCUCUCCUUGCAAAGUUAUUUGCCACCUCAUUAGAAGUGUAAUUGGGGAUGAUGAAAUAGGGAAAUAUAGCAAUUUUUUUUUUUAUUGUUAUAAAUAUUAAACCUAAGCAUCGAUAUUCACUAUUAUAAACCCACUACCACCACCACCACCGUUACCAUUACCACCACUGCCAUCGCUACCCCUAUGUCCACCAUGCCACUGCUAACACUACCACUACCAUCACCAUCAUACCGCCGCCGUUGCCAUCACCGCCACCACCACUACCACCACCACUACCUUCGUCACUAUUGUCAUUGUUACUAUAAGCACCACUAUCAUUUUACUACUACUAUUAUCACUAUUGCCAUCAUCGCCACCACCAUCAACGCUACUGCUACCAUCACCACAACUACUAUCAAUGCUACCACCAUCACCACCAUGCCAACACUACCACCACCACUACGACCAUCAUAGGAUCAUCGCCACCAUUACCACCACCAUCACAAUAUAAAAAUUGAAAUAUUCAAUUUAAAAAGAAUAAAUUUUAAACUUAAUUUUAUAAAUAUCAAACAACUUAUUUUUAGUUCAAUACUUAAAUUUUUAUCAAAUGAUUUUUCAACUUAAAAAAUUAUACAUUAAUUUUUAAUUCUCAUUUUUCAGUUUUCUUACUUAUGAUAUGAUCUAAACGGACUGCAGUACUUGGCCUAAUUUUGGACGUAGGACUUGGGGAGUCAAAAGGUCACACACUCGCCUAUAUCUCACUCUUAGACCCUCUUCGGAGCAAACUCUUCACUUUUGUCAUUGAAUCCAUCUCUAAAGCUUUGAUCUUCAGAAACUACUGUUCAUAGUUAUCUCUCAAUCAACAACAAUCGCUCUCUUCGAUUCACCACCACCAUUUUAAGCCUACCCAAUAGCAGAAGAUGGUCCCUCCAUCGAAUGACUGCUCUCGUCACCGACGGCACUCGCGAAUUCGGGUUCCCCCCCCUCUCUCUCCCUUUAUAUAUAUAUAUAUAUAUGUAAUGGGUUUUUGUCGUAGAACCCUAAUUUUGAAAUUGGAAUCUAGGUGUAAUUACAUUUAUGUAGGCAUGUGAUUAUGGAGGAACUGACGGGACUUGGGGCGAAAGUGCAUACCUGUGCUUGGAACGAAAUGGAGCUGAAGAGGUGUUUGGGAGAUUGGGAAGAUGAAGGAUUAGGAGUCACGGGUUCGGUUUGUGAUGUGUCGUCUCGCCCCCAGCGAGAGGAGCUAAUGGACUCUGUCUCCUUUGUCUUCAACGGCAAGCUCAACAUUCUCUACGCUUGUAGAGUUUAUGUAACAAAAAGUUGUAAUCACUCCCAGGAGCAAUUAAUCAACUUACAAGGAAUUUGUCAUGUGAGUGGGCAAAAGACAAUAUCAGGAGUAACGCUGUUGCACCUUGGUAUAUCAAAACCUCUAUGGUGGAGCAAGUAAUUUCCUUUUCACCUUCUUUUGUAAUUAAUAAUUUGUUUUAUGUCCUUAAAGUAUUAUUAGGCCGAUCGUAGUCCAGCACCACAAAACUGAGUGACAUCCCCAUUUUGACUUUUGUUACUCUAAAAUGUUUAACGGUGAAGUUUUUACAACAUCAAUGAUUGUUUUCCUUACAAAACAAUGGCAUCAUUCAUCCACUUUGUUAACUGGUUCCAUUUGAUGGUUGCCUAAAAAAGCAAUCAGAAGUACCUUUGUACUAAAGAAGCAAUCUUCAAGCUAGUGUUGGUUUCUCACCAACAUUAUGCUUUGUUCCUUUUUUUUCUUUUUUCCUUUCCAUCCUUAUUGAUAUAAUCUCAUAUGUAAUGUAUGUUUUCUUCAUCAAUAAAGAUUUUCUUUGUUGAUCAAAAAAAAAAAAAGUACCUUUGUACUACUUUUUGUCAUAUUCGGUAUAAUUAUGUUAUGCUAUAGUUUUAAAUUGUGAAUUUAUUAGCAAUUAUGUCAGUAAAUUUUUUCCAAAUUGAUAUGUUAAUGGCCGGCUUUUUGCUGACUUUUUUUUUUCUUCAUUUGUUUGAUUGUCAGUUUUUAGACCAAAUUUUGUUUUUUGUCAUUCUUGCAAGGUGAGCAAGAAAUAAUUCUUUAAUUUCCAACUCCAUUGUAGAGAAAUAGAUGAAGUAUAUUACCAAGAUUUUUCGGAUGUACUUCUGCACUGAAUAGAAUCAUUUCUUUUACCUUAUCGCUAAAGAUAAUUGUUUCUUCAACCUUGUCUGGAUUUUUCCUUUUCUUCCCCCCCCCCCCCCCCCAACCAAAACAAAGUUUUUGCUAUAUAUAAAAUUUGUGGUUAAUUUUUUAAACCCUAACAUUGUUUUAAUACAAUAAGGCACGUUUGAUUUCUUAUUUUUUGUAAGCUUAACUCAUUCUUUAUUUUUCAAAUGUUGAUUAAUUUUAAUGGGAAUGUAAUUGGUACGUUGAGUUAAUUCUACUUAGGGAAAUCUUAGUUCUACUAGGAAAUAACUAUAAAAAUCCAAUCCUAAGGGUAAGAAGUCUGGUUAGAAUUGACAUUCCUUUUAGCUUUUCAAGUUGCUUGUGACUCAUUUGAAUAUUUCUACGUGUUUCCUAUCAUGAAAAUUAAUAAAUGUUUUUGAAAACUUUGAUGAUAGUUGCAACCAUCAAUGAAACAUUCUCUAGUUAGAUUAAUUCCCUAUUUUGUUUAUUUUAUUUUAUUUUUUUGAUGUGGGCAGUAAGACUGUGUGUGAUUGCUAGUUUUGGGAGUGGAAUUAGAUC